rnacentral:rRNA from 1 species
UUGGAGGGCAAGUCUGGUGCCAGCAGCCGCGGUAAUUCCAGCUCCAAUAGCGUAUAUUAAAGUUGUUGCAGUUAAAAAGCUCGUAGUUGAUUUCGGGAUCAAUAUGUUGGUCGUGCCUUGGUACGUACUGGCGUCAUUGGUUUCUACCUUCUGAAGAACCUCGAUGUCAUUAAUUUGGUGUCUUGGGGAAUCAGGACUGUUACUUUGAAAAAAUUAGAGUGUUUAAAGCAAGCUCACGCUUGAAUACAUUAGCAUGGAAUAAUGAAAUAGGACGUUUGAUUCUAUUUUGUUGGUUUCUAGGAUCGACGUAAUGAUUAAUAGGGAUAGUUGGGGGCAUUAGUAUUCAAUUGCCAGAGGUGAAAUUCUUGGAUUUAUUGAAGACUAACUACUGCGAAAGCAUUUGCCAAGGAUGUUUUCAUUAAUCAAGAACGAAAGUUAGGGGAUCGAAGACGAUCAGAUACCGUCGUAGUCUUAACCAUAAACUAUGCCGACUAGGGAUCGGAUGAUGUUAAUUUUUUAAUGACUCAUUCGGCGCCUUACGGGAAACCAAAGUGUUUGGGUUC